UCUAAAGAACACCAGCUGUAGAGGAGGAAGCUUCUGAAAGAAGUAAGAGGAACACAGGACAUGUCCCCAAGGUCUUGCUCCACCAAGUUCUAGGACACUUCAGAGAAUACAGAUCCUCAUGUGAAGUGCGGGACCUCUGUGCUGUUUAUUCUGAAUCCCCAGCACCUGACCUGCAGCAGUCCUGGCCCACAGUAGGUGUCAACAUCAGCUGGAAGGAUGAACAGAUGGACAAAUGCAGCCAGACCAGGACCAGCCCCAGCUGUCUCCAGUCCGCAUGUCUGGUGUUCAUGGGUACAUGGUGCCAGAGUUCAGCAAUGAAGGACAAUGUGACAGAGGCUUCCAGGGUGCACAGGUUAUAAGCUUGGGCUUUGGAGUCAGACAUAUGUGGGUUCUAAAUUUGCUCUGCCUCUUGUUAGUUGUGUGACCUCAGACCAAUCACUUGAUCUUUGAACUUCUGUUUCCUCACAUAUAACAUGGGUAUAAUAAAAUCUACCUCAUUUGGCCAUCAGGAGAACAAAAUCAAAUAGUGCCUAUAAAAAGUUUAGGUAAGUCCUUGGUAAGUGAUCAACAAAUGGGCCCAUCUGGGAUCCUGAACAUCUAUAGAUGUAAUGCCCAGGGAGUUAGUUUGGAGGAAUGGAACACAUCACUGUUUCUAGAGGAGGUGGUGGCUUCUGGACCCCAAAGUCAGCCAGUGUAGAGGUCGGUGCUCAGUGUUAUCCUGGCAGGCAUGUGGGCUCCCUACAUGCAUGGGGACAAGUUAAGGACAAGGCUAUGAUGAGGUCACAUUGAGCCACCUAUAGACCUGCUGGAUUUUCAGGAUACAAGUGAUGGCUGAAAUCAUAGAAGAUGAGGGAUGGAAGGGAACCUUUGGUUCUGCUCUGGGCCUCAAUUUGAAGAGGCUUCCCAUCAAUCAAGGCAUGUUUCUGCUUUGCAGGGAUGGAUCCUCUCUGCCAAGUGACUUUAUGGGGCCAUCACAAUUGUUAAAUUUGAUUCAGGCAAGAUGCACCACUGGGCAAAUUUUAUUGUGAGUUCUCCAUGCCAGGAACUCCUAUAAUCUGUUAUUUGAGAAAGACCCAGAAGGUGGAGACACGAGCCAAGCUCUGCCCUGUAUGCCAGGUGAAACCAUAGCUGUGAGAGACCAUGUAUCUGGGCCUUCGCUGUCUCAGGAGCAUGGAAUACUUCUACGCAGAUUUUUUCUUCCUAAUUGCCGCCAUCCAUGUGAAUGUCUCUGCAUAUGAGUCCCAGAGGGUAACUUUCUCAUAUUCCCUGACCUACCUUUGAGAGCCUGAGUUCAAAUGCUGAGCAGGAGCCCUCAACAGAAGAUUCAGGCUGCAAUUGUUGUUUACCACCUUGAACAUUAGCUAGUCUCACUCUAGUAUGGAAUUUAGAUUGCAGUUCGUGGAAGAGGCUGAAGGUUUUAACAACAGCAUUGUUUUUACAUCUAAUAGCUAUGGAACUAGUCAUACUCUUCUUCCUGUAAUCUCUGUGGUGGCUCCGUGUAGUGUAUGGGAAUAAGUACAGCUAGAGGACGUCAGAUCACAGUGUUCCUGGUCUAUGAAGCAGUGAGCCACUCAGAGAUGCUCUUUUUCUAAGGAGCCAGCGAGAUGCAUUGGUGAUGAGCCCUGAAUUGGAGGUCAGGAUAUUUGGGUUCACAAUUCCAGCUCUGCCACUUCCCUGAUAGGUGACUUCCCUGCCAGGUGGCUGUGUCAGGGCUGCUGCUUCCUUGGGUAUAGAACAAGGGUUGUCCCUCAAGUUAUUUCUAGCUCUGACAUUCCACAAGACUUAGCUAGCUUUGAGUGCCAUUCCAAAUUCUGGAAACUAAGUAGUGACUGUUCAAGUGAGCACAUCCUUGCAGACUUUGAGCAAGGGUGCCAGACAGUUGGCCCUGGAUGGCCAAAUCUCAGAACUAUGGAAUUUCACUCAACUGCAAAGUCCCCAGCACAACUUGUCACUGAGUGAAAUUCUUCAACAGAUAAGUUUAUCAUAUUGGUGGUUUAAUGACUUUUAUUAAACAAAUGCUCUUUGAAACCUAUUAACAAACUGUGAGGUCCUGCUUUUUUUUAUCAUUGUUGUCAGUAAUAAUAAAAAUAGCACCAAUUGCUUAUUCACUUUGUAUGAUACACUGCUUUUAUAGUGUGCUAAGCUUUACCUCAUUGAAUGUUUCCAAUAGCCCUAUUACUUUCCCUAUUUUAUAGAUGAGAGGUUCAGAGAAUUUCCCCAGGUCACACUGUCAGUAAGUGCAUGCAUUAGGAUUUGAAUCUGGCUCAGUCUGACUUCUGAGUAUACUUUUUCUUAUGGCUGGAAGUUAUAGUGUCUUGUGGCACUUUGACCAGCAUCUUUAGAAUCAACACAGUUUUGCAAAUUGUGCUGUGAGUAGAAGAGAGAGGAGAACUUGAACCUGGUCUUUGCCUUUAAGAUCUUCAGAUCUAGGAGACAGCAUGCCUGUAAAUAAUACAAUGUAAACAAUGAGUGGUUCAGGUAGUAAGCAGUAAGAACCAAUAGUAAGGAAGGGCUCAGAGUCAGGAAGAUCUGUAGGGAUUCUGAAAAAACAGUAGUGACAAAUUGGAACUUUAUUUGAAUCCCUAAGAAUGGGGGUAAAAAUAUCUGAGGACAGGCUCUGAAAGAAAGGGUAGGGAAAGAGCCAAGUCCUGGAGAUGGGAGUGUGCCUACAGUGUUCUCAGAACAUUGGGCAGACAGGGCAGUUUGACAUGAGUGGAGAAUCUGUGAAGCAGGAGAGCGUAUGGGAGGGAGACUUGGGCACUAAAUAGGGUUGAAGUCUACUUUGUGAAAAUUAAGCAGGUGCACACUCAUUGUGUCUUCUGUGCAAAGCAAGAAAUGAGUGAUUUCUAUAGUGAUGUUAGAUUGUUUCUGCUACAUAAAUAUAGUGAUUCAGACAGAUGAAAACACAGUCACUUAGGUAGAACAUCUGUAAAUUCCACUACACACUCUAACAUCCAUUUGCUCACAUUAAUGGAGCUGCCUCUGCACUGCCCAGGUUAAGUGCUCCUGCACUUACUGGCAGGAAUUGGGAGGAAACACAGGGCAAUUAGAAUAGGGGCAUUA